GGGGAAUCACGUGGUCGGUGUGUGGCGGGCUGAGGUGUAACCAGGGGCAGCUCAUGUAUUCAGCUUCACAUUAAUGGAUGUUUGCACUACUCUGCUGGGAGGCGGAUGCCCAGGCCACGGAAUGAGACACAAAAAAAGACAGGUUUGUUUUCAAAAUAAAUAAUUAUAUUCAUAAA